UCUCUUUCUCUCUCUCUCUCUCUCUCUCUCUCUCUCUCUCUCUUUCUGUCUGUCCUGUGGUGGGAUAAACAGUGAAAAGAUGAGCCUGUGAUACAGCAUCAGACCUGAGUGACCUGACAGCUCAAACUAAUCCUGUUCAGACAAAAAUAAAUGCUGCCAGUUGAAGCCUAGUCUCUGAUAGCAGUGGAGAACAACCAGUCUACUUCCCGGAAGAAUACAAGACUUCUCUGAUCUGGUUCAUCGGACAGAGCGACUUGCCACGCUCCGACUGCCCCCUUCUCCCCACAGCAUCAGACACCUCUGUGGUUGCAGUGAGACCCCACCUGCUCAGCAACAGCUGUACAUGGAG
rnacentral:lncRNA from 1 species